GGGGUUGUAGCUCAGUGGUAGAGCGCUUGCCUUGUACGCGUGAGUCCCUGGGUUCGAGCCUCAGCACCA
rfam:Ictidomys tridecemlineatus contig055634, whole genome shotgun sequence.